rnacentral:rRNA from 1 species
GACGAACGCUGGCGGCGUGCCUAACACAUGCAAGUCGAGCGGAGUUGACAAGAGGAAGUUUUCGGAUGGAAUCUUGCCAGCUUAGCGGCGGACGGGUGAGUAACGCGUGAGCGACCAACCUUGCAUAGGGGGAUAACGGACCGAAAGGUUCACUAAUACCGCAUGAGACCACGGUGUUGCAUGACACAGGGGUCAAAGGAGGAAUCCGGUGCAAGACGAGCUCGCGUCCGAUUAGGUAGUUGGAGGGGUAACGGCCCACCAAGCCUAUGAUCGGUAGCCGACCUGAGAGGGUGAUCGGCCACAUUGGAACUGAGAUACGGUCCAAACUCCUACGGGAGGCAGCAGUGGGGAAUAUUGGGCAAUGGGGGAAACCCUGACCCAGCAACGCCGCGUGAAGGAAGAAGGUUUUCGGAUUGUAAACUUCUGUCCUUGGUGAAGAGAAGAAGACGGUAGCCAAGGAGGAAGCCCCGGCUAACUACGUGCCAGCAGCCGCGGUAA